rnacentral:rRNA from 2 species
GGGAGCCGGAGGGAAACCGAGUCUUAACCGGGCGUUAAGUUGCAGGGUAUAGACCCGAAACCCGGUGAUCUAGCCAUGGGCAGGUUGAAGGUUGGGUAACACUAACUGGAGGACCGAACCGACUAAUGUUGAAAAAUUAGCGGAUGACCUGUGGCUGGGGGUGAAAGGCCAAUCAAACCGGGAGAUAGCUGGUUCUCCCCGAAAGCUAUUUAGGUAGCGCCUCGUGAAUUCAUCUCCGGGGGUAGAGCACUGUUUCGGCUAGGGGGCCAUCCCGGCUUACCAACCCGAUGCAAACUGCGAAUACCGGAGAAUGUUAUCACGGGAGACACACGGCGGGUGCUAACGUCCGUCGUGAAGAGGGAAACAACCCAGACCGCCAGCUAAGGUCCCAAAGUCAUGGUUAAGUGGGAAACGAUGUGGGAAGGCCCAGACAGCCAGGAUGUUGGCUUAGAAGCAGCCAUCAUUUAAAGAAAGCGUAAUAGCUCACUGGUCGAGUCGGCCUGCGCGGAAGAUGUAACGGGGCUAAACCAUGCACCGAAGCUGCGGCAGCGACGCUGAUGCGUUGUUGGGUAGGGGAGCGUUCUGUAAGCCUGCGAAGGUGGCCUGUGAGGGUUGCUGGAGGUAUCAGAAGUGCGAAUGCUGACAUAAGUAACGAUAAAGCGGGUGAAAAGCCCGCUCGCCGGAAGACCAAGGGUUCCUGUCCAACGUUAAUCGGGGCAGGGUGAGUCGACCCCUAAGGCGAGGCCGAAAGGCGUAGUCGAUGGGAAACGGGUUAAUAUUCCCGUACUUGGUGUUACUGCGAAGGGGGGACGGAGAAGGCUAUGUUGGCCGGGCGACGGUU